ACUAAUAAUCGAUCAAGUUUAUCACGUGAUAUGAAGUUUUUUCUGAAUAAUAAUUAUAUCUCUCCUUGUUUAUUUCACACACGUUUCUAGUCAAAAAACGAUAAGUUCUUUUGAUUUCGAAAUGAAUAGUAGUUCAUUAAUUUGAUGAUAUUCAUUUCAUCAUCAAUAUUAUUAAUUAUCAAUUGCAAUAUACAAUAUUUAUAAUUAACUCAUACGAAUAGAACGUGGCAUUUGACAAACGUUCUUUGAAUUCUAUGAUGCAGAAAAUAUGAAAUUUAAAAAUAAAUUCUAUAUACCUAAGUUAAACAUUAAAAAUAAUUUCGAAAUAUAUUUUUAAAAGUAACGAUUCCGCUUUAUGCAGAAUUGGUUAAAGGCUGGCAACUUAAAGAGGAAUCGAAUAUCAAAUGCAUAUAUAAAAAAUGAACGUGACAGACAAUAUGUUUGGAACAUCAGCUCCCGUGCCCAAGUGUGAUCGAUAUUAUACAGAUCAUCACAAUAGAACCAGCUUUAUUAUAAAAGGUUAUGAAGGCAUUCCAGAGAAUUUAGUGAUGAAUGUUUCAAUUUGGCUGAUUUUACUAAUUUUAUUCUCAUUUCUCCGAAAACUUGCAUGGGAUUAUGGAAGGAUUGCAUUAAUUAGUCGAAAUGAAUCAAGAGAAUUACUACCAUAUGAAUCGAGAUAUAAUGUGUGGACUUCUCUAUUCUACGGGAAUAGAGAUAACACAGAUGGAUGGACGUCGGAAAUAUCUAUUGAUCAAAGUUUACAAAACCAAGAUAAGGGAUUUUGCUCGUGGAUAGUAGCUUUCUUUAAAAUAACUGAUGAGCAUAUUCUUCAAAAAUCUGGAAGGGACGCUAUUCAAUAUCUUAAAUUUCAACGUUAUCUGAUUAUAUUUACAACAAUUAUUACUGCAUUUUGUAUUGGCGUUGUACUUCCCAUCAAUUUUAAGGGAACAUUAGAACGCGAUCGACAAUCAUUUGGAUUUUCCACUAUGAGUAAUUUAGAUGUGUCGUCGCCUCUGCUUUGGGUUCACGCAACGGGAGCUAUUGCCUAUCUCUGUAUUGCUAUUUUGCUGAUGCGACACUUUACAUCCAAAUUGAGACAUGAAGAUAUCGAUGGUCAUGUAACAAGAACAGUCAUGAUAAUGAAUAUUCCAUCUCAGCAUUGCUUUAAAACAACGAUUAUGGAACAUUUUCAACAAGCUUAUCCAGAUACGAGAGUAGAAGAUGUUCAGUUUGCGUACAACAUAACCCAACUAGUUGCGUUGGAUAAAAAGAAGCAAAGAGCGUUUGAAGGAUUAAAUAAUUCUCAAAUUAUUUUGCAAAAAACUGGCGAAAGGCCAACAAUGUUACCAUUCGUUUGUGGACAUUGUUGCAAAUGUUGCACGUGUUGUGGUUGUAAACACGUAGAUGCUAUUGAUUACUAUUCAAGCAAACUUGAAAAAUAUAGGGAUGAAGUAGAUAGCGAAAAAGUACACGCUUUUCGAGAUCCUUUGGGAAUAGCUUUUGUGACUUUUGAAGAGGAAAACGCCGCAUUAAGUGUUCGAAAUGAUUUUAAACGAUCCUGCCGAGGUCACGUUCCUAGUCCUUCAACAAAUAGUUUCGAGUUAAACGUAGCUAAUUGGGAAGUUGAACACGCCCCAGCACCCGAUAAUAUCUAUUGGGAAAAUCUUUCAAUUUCUCCUGCCAUCUGGUGGUCAAAAGCAUUUUUUAUCAAUGCUCUACUAUUUAUACUAUUAUUUUUUCUAACAACUCCAUCAAUUGUCCUAAAUUUAUUAAAUGAAGGGAAUUAUUACAAAAGUGCGUUGGAUAAACUUCACAGUCAUCUACUUGCUCAAUUUAUACCUACUCUAAUUCUAUGGUUAGCAUCAGCUCUCUUACCGUCUUUGGUGUAUAAUUCCGAUCAAUUGAUUGGACAUUGGACAAGAUCGGCUGAACAUCAUGCGGUUAUGAGAAAGACAUUUCUUUUCCUUGUUUUAAUGGUUUUAAUAUUACCAUCUCUCGGCUUAACAAGCGCAAAAGCUCUAUUUGACUAUUUUGCUUCGAAGGACGAAAAAACUAUUACUUUUAAAUGGGAAUGUAUUUUUAUUCCUGACAAUGGAGCAUUUUUUGUAAAUUAUGUAAUAACGUCAGCAUUUAUUGGAACAGCAGCGGAAAUAAUAAGAUUUCCAGAGUUGUUUAUCUAUACUAUGAAACUAUUAUUUGCUAAAUCGGCUGCAGAGCGUACUUCAGUAAGAAAGUCAGUUGUAUGGGAAUUUCAAUUUGGAGUGCAAUACGCUUGGAUGUUGUGCGUAUUUACAGUCGUUGUAUCUUACAGCCUUCUAUGUCCACUUAUAACUCCUUUUGGUUUGGUUUAUAUGAUAUUCAAACAUGCCGUUGAUAGAUAUAAUAUCUAUUUUGCUUAUGGACCUUCAAAAAUUGACAAGCACGUGCAUUCUAGUGCCAUCAACUUCGUUAUCAUUGCCGUCAGCUUUGCCCAAGCUAUCCUUGUCUUUUUCAUCAUUGUACGCUCCGGAGGAGUGCAGAAAUCUAGCAAUGUUCAAAUUUUGUCUCUAUUUGCAACUGUCGCCCUAUUUCUUACUAUAACUUUAUUUUUGGGUAGAGUUUGCCUUGGAUGGUUCAAGGUGAUCAGUCCAAUGGCGUAUAAGAGAACUGAUUCUCCUAGACGCUCCCCCACUCCGGAAGAAACAUCUAAACCUUUUAUACCAAACAUUCUCCUCCACGAAGAUGAUGUAGAACAAAACGUUGGAACUUCUUACGGAUCAACCAAUCCUGUUAUACCAAUAGUCAACUCCGAAAGUAAUCAAGAGCAGCAGCAAUAGUGCUAAUUGCAAUACAGCAGACUUUUAAGUGUACAUAAUACAGCGAAACAUUCAAAUAUAAUUAUUACAAAUAUUUUGUAUAUAAAUUAAUUUAAAGGUAACACUUGUUUUCCAUUACUAUCAAAAAGAUUAUUGUAAAUUGGGCAAUUCGAUUUAAAUUUCCCUUCACAUAAAUUGACCUCUCUUUACUGAUUCUUCUUUAAAACUAGGAACAUUUUCUAUAACUGCUGAAUGAAAUCUUGAUAGCAUUUCUUGAGCCGACCAUCUCGGACUAUGUGGAUACUGUUCAAUUUUUUUCGAAUAGAUCGAUUUAACGUCUUUGUUUCGAUGAAAUAUUGACUUUAAAUAGCAUGCAGGAGAAUCAACGGGAAAGGAUAAGGGUAAUUUUAAUUGAACUGUAAACAUAAAAUCAUUCCAUGUAAGGAGUACAGUUAUUACUUCAUCGUUCAUUUCUAUAAGACUCUCCCUAUAUUUUUCUCUGAACUGAAGGAAAAAUUCAAUUUUCGUUCUCUUCUGAUUAACACCAUUUUGUAAAGUAGUUUUCAAGGCUUCUAUAAUUACAGGAACAUAGUCCGCGAGCGAUGUUCUUAUAGAAUAGGGGGGUAUCUGUAGUCUUCGUAUUCCGCCGAUAAUAUCUUCAAGGUUUUCAGACAACAAAAGGUCAGGCUGUACUUUCUCAGGUUCUCUACCUCGAAAUGUAACCGUUAGUUUGGCAGUGAAUCGGUUAUUACUUUUAUCCUUCGUGAAAGCCUUAACGUAAGUUGUUACAUUUAAGUUUAUGUGAAAUACAUAGGGUCCAUUAUCAUUUUGGCAAAAAACCUCUAUAUCUGAGGGUCCGAUACAUCUAUUUUUCAUCAAGAGUUCGUAUUCUCUUCUCAUUCUUUCAUUUGAAUUUAACUUUUCAACUUGAUAUUUUUGAUAUUGGCGGUAGAGAUCUAAUAAUAAUUCUACAAAUGCUGAGUGAUCGUUCUUAUCCCAAUGUGUAAUAGAUUUCAUUUCAUUCAAGUCGGGCAAAAAAUUUUCGUCAUCCUGGGGAAAAAUUUCGGGUGGAUAUUCUUGUACAUCUUGAUUAUUGAACUUGAUCAUAAAUUUCUUUUGAACUUUUUCAACAUAGCUAAAUUUGAUUGUAUAUUCGUCAUAAGCUGAUGAUUUGCGAGAAGCUUUUCGGAGAGCAAUCUCAAAAAUCUUCUCUGACAUCGGAUUUUUAUUGUGAUCUAAUAGUUCUGUAAUAUAUACCUCCUUGGUCGUCAUUCUUGUGAGAUUGUCACUUUUAAAAAAUAAUCAUAUAAAUGAUAAACAAGGAAAGGAAAACACGAAUUUAGGAUUUGUUUUUCCGGUUCCGGUUAUAAAUUUAUAAAUAAAAAAAUUACUCUUUUAAUUAAUAAAAAAGCUUCCAAAUAUCCUUGAAUAUUGUAAUUUUUUCAAUGCAUCACUAAUUCUAU
rnacentral:misc_RNA from 1 species